rnacentral:rRNA from 1 species
UACGUAGGUGGCAAGCGUUACUCGGAAUCACUAGGCGUAAAGCGCAUGUAGGCGGUUCGGUAAGUCUCUUGUGAAAGCUCCCGGCUCAACUGGGAGAGGUCAAGGGAAACUGCCGGGCUAGAGUGUGGCAGAGGAAGCUGGAAUUCCCGGUGUAGCGGUGAAAUGCGUAGAUAUCGGGAGGAAUACCUAUGGCGAAAGCAGGCUUCUGGGCCGUCACUGACACUGAUCUGCGAAAGCUAGGGGAGCAAACAGG